rnacentral:rRNA from 1 species
AUUGAACGCUGGCGGCAGGCCUAACACAUGCAAGUCGAACGGUAACAGGAAGCAGCUUGCUGCUUUGCUGACGAGUGGCGGACGGGUGAGUAAUGUCUGGGAAACUGCCUGAUGGAGGGGGAUAACUACUGGAAACGGUAGCUAAUACCGCAUAACGUCGCAAGACCAAAGAGGGGGACCUUCGGGCCUCUUGCCAUCGGAUGUGCCCAGAUGGGAUUAGCUUGUUGGUGGGGUAACGGCUCACCAAGGCGACGAUCCCUAGCUGGUCUGAGAGGAUGACCAGCCACACUGGAGCUGAGACACGGUCCAGACUCCUACGGGAGGCAGCAGUGGGGAAUAUUGCACAAUGGGCGCAAGCCUGAUGCAGCCAUGCCGCGUGUAUGAAGAAGGCCUUCGGGUUGUAAAGUACUUUCAGCGGGGAGGAGGGGAGUAAAGUUAAUACCUUUACUCAUUGACGUUACCCGCAGAAGAAGCACCGGCUAACUCCGUG